AUUGAACGCUGGCGGCAGGCCUAACACAUGCAAGUCGAACGAGUGGCGGACGGGUGAGUAAUGUAUGGGAAACUGCCUGAUGGAGGGGGAUAACUACUGGAAACGGUAGCUAAUACCGCAUACCAUCGGAUGUGCCCAGAUGGGAUUAGCUAGUAGGUGGGGUAAAGGUUCACCUAGGCGACGCUCCCUAACUGGUCUGUGAGGAUGACCAGCCCAACUGGAACGGAGACACGGUCCAGACUCCUACGGGAGGCAGCAGUGGGGAAUCUUGCACAAUGGGCGCAAGCCUGAUGCAGCCAUGCCGCGUGUAUGAAGAAGGCCUUCGGGUUGUAAAGUACGUUCAGCGGGGAGGCGGUACCCGCAGAAGAAGCACCGGCUAACUCCGUGCCAGCAGCCGCGGUAAUUC
rnacentral:rRNA from 1 species